UGUCGUCAGGCUCGUGUCGUGAGAUGUUGGGUUAAGUCCCGCAACGAGCCGCAACCCCGCCUUUAGUUGCUACCAUUCAGUUGAGCACUCUAAAGGGACCGCCGGCGUUAAGCCGGAGGAAGGUGGGGAUGACGUCAAGUCCUCAUGGCCCUUAUGUCCAGGGCUACACACGUGCUACAAUGGGCGGUACAGAGGGUUGCCAACCCGCGAGGGGGAGCCAAUCCCAGAAAGCCGUCCUCAGUUCAGAUUGGAGUCUGCAACUCGACUCCAUGAAGGUGGAAUCGCUAGUAAUCGCGGAUCAGCAUGCCGCGGUGAAUACGUUCCCGGGCCUU
rnacentral:rRNA from 1 species